rnacentral:rRNA from 1 species
AUUGAACGCUGGCGGCAGGCCUAACACAUGCAAGUCGAGCGGAUGACGGGAGCUUGCUCCUGGAUUCAGCGGCGGACGGGUGAGUAAUGCCUAGGAAUCUGCCUGGUAGUGGGGGAUAACGUCCGGAAACGGGCGCUAAUACCGCAUACGUCCCGAGGGAGAAAGUGGGGGAUCUUCGGACCUCACGCUAUCAGAUGAGCCUAGGUCGGAUUAGCUAGUUGGUGGGGUAAAGGCCUACCAAGGCGACGAUCCGUAACUGGUCUGAGAGGAUGAUCAGUCACACUGGAACUGAGACACGGUCCAGACUCCUACGGGAGGCAGCAGUGGGGAAUAUUGGGCAAUGGGCGAAAGCCUGAUCCAGCCAUGCCGCGUGUGUGAAGAAGGUCUUCGGAUUGUAAAGCACUGUAAGUUGGGAGGAAGGGCAGUAAGUUAAUACCUUGCGGUUUUGACGGUACCAACAGAAUAAGCACCGGCUAACUUCGUG